rnacentral:lncRNA from 1 species
GAACAUCACUAAAGAUCCCUCAGACAUUUAAAGAUGACAAAGGAAUAUUACACACAGUUUCAUGGCCAUCGUUUUGACAACUUAAAGAAAACUGACAUUUCUCAAAGAUGCAAGAUACCAACUUCACUGGAAAUAAAGAUAAUCUAAACAGUCCUUAUCUCUAGAGAAAUAAAAUUUGUAGUUAACAGCAUUUUCCUGAGACCAAAAAUUAUAAAUAGUAUAAUAAAAUUAGCAGCAAUAUCCUUAAAAUAUAACACUAAAAUGCCCAAAGAUCAAACCAAUGGUACAUAAAAAGAGAAGUCUCUCAUGACCAAGUAGAAUUUGCUGGUGUAGUUCAGGGUUGCAAGACUGCUUCAGUACAAAGGUAAUCAGUGCAACUCACUAUCAAGAGUUAUAUAUAUUCCCUAACCCUACAUAUAGUCAUUUUAUUAGAUGAAAAAAAAAAGAGGAACAACUACAAAAACUAAAUAGGAGUAUUUGGCAGAAUUAAUUAUCUUUUCAUGAUAAGACUCAGCAAACUAGGAGAAAAUAAUUAUCCCUUCCUUGAUAAACAAUGUCCUACAGAAGUCAUAUAUAGUCAACAUUAUGUAAAAGACUCAUUUCUUUCUAAUUAAGAAAGGAUCAAGAUAAAUAAAAUCUGCUCUCAUCACUCUGUUCAGCACUGUGCUGGAAGGCCUGCCCAGGACAGUGAGCAAUGAGCAAUAAAAGGCAAAGAGAGUAAAAUUAUCCCUUGAAUAUACCUUGAGAUACUACACACACACACACACACACACACACACACACACACACACACACACACACACAGCAGUACCAGGUACUGGCAAGGAGAUGGAGUAGUUGGGACUGAGACAUUGCAGGUAAGAACAACACAAAGUGGAGCAAGGAUUUUGUAGAAUACAUUUGGACAUUUUUUAUACACAUACACGGAAGAAAGUAUAAAUGAUAAUAUAUUUAAAUAUUAGUUAUCUUUAUUGUCACUGUGACAAAAUACCUGAUAAGAAACAAAUUAAGAGACGACACUCUGGCUCAUACUUUAAGAGGGCACAGCACAUCAUGGAGGGAAGGGCGUAGUCACAAGCAUCUCCUUGGUGGCAGGAUUAUGACUAGGAUGUCUGGAAUCCAACAGGAAGUGGAACAGGGUUAUAAAACUUUGACGUACACUCCCAGGGUCCCACUUACUCCAAAAAGAUUCCACUUUUUAAAGGUUCCACAAUUUCCCCAGCUAGUCAAACACUGAAGGCGCCUGGUCCAUUUUGCAUUCAAGUCACUGCAUGUACCACACAACUCAGUGACCCACAUUAAAUGAAAACAUGCAACCAACAUGUCUAAGGGUGUUCUGACUACCUUAUUUACAAUCACCCCAAACUGGAAGCACACUCACCUUAUGAAAUGAGGAAAAGAUAUCUAUUGCUAAUAGAAAUAAUGAAUUAACACUAGGAACAAAAGAGUGAGGUUUUGGUUUAUGCAAAACCACAAGUGGAUUCUUUAUCCUGUGAACUUAGUGAACAGUGAAAUAGUGAAAGGCAGGUGGUCCACUUACAUGAUAUGAAUAGAAAACAAACCAGUGGUUGGCUGGUUGUGGAUGUAGGAAACCAAGAGUGUGUCACAAGCAGACCUGGAGAAAUUUUAGUCUACUGGAACUUCUCUGUAUGUGAACUGUGAUAGAUAAGUGUACCUCUUAAAAUGUUUUUCUCAGGCCUCCACUGUACUUGAAAAGGUGAGUUUUACAAUAUUCAAACUAUAGUUAAUAUCCCUAACUUUAAAUAUAAUUAAAUAUUUAUAAUCACACUUAUUUAUGUAUUAUAAAUAAUAUAAUAAAUAUUAUUUAACUAAAUAAAAGAUUAGUUGACCUAAAGACAGGUCAGUGGAAAUCCAACAUAAUUUAUGAAGAACUUUUUAAAAAGAAGAUUGACUUAAUAGACUUGUGAAGAACAUUAAGUAGUAAAAUAUAAAUGUAAUUGGUAUUUAGGAAAAAGAAGCAAAGAAUAGUAUAGGAAAUCAUUUGAGCCAGAUAUGGCUCUACAUAAGUGCAAUCUUAGUGGUGGCACAUGCCUUUAAUCCCAGCACUUGGGAGGCAGAGGCAGUCAGAUUUCUGAGUUUGAGGCCAGCCUGGACUACAGAGUGAGUUCCAGGACAGCCAAGGGCUAUACAGAGAAACUCUGUCUCAGAAAACCAAACCAAACCAACCAACCAACCAACCAAAAACACAAGACACCAUCUCAAAAUAUAAUACGGACC